rnacentral:misc_RNA from 1 species
GAAAUGCGAUAACUAAUGUGAAUUGCAGAUUUCAGUGAAUCAUCGAGUCUUUGAACGCAAGUGGCACUUCGGGGCAUGCCUCGGAGUAUACCUGUUCGAGCGUCGCCAUAUUCCUCAACACCCAACCAAGAACCCCCCUUUGCGGGGUUUUUUCUUGGGUCGUUGGACGAUGUCUGUUGGAGGCGCCCCGCGCCCUCCAUCAGUGAUCAAAGUCAUUCCCUGGCACUCGGCACACCCUCCGAGGAGCAUCUCUCGCAAUGUGGUAAGGACCUCCACGCGUCCCGUACACCAUUGUGGGUGCUCCGCUCGAGGAGGGACGGCCGGGAAUCGUGCCGCUGGGUCACCAACCCCACACACGGAACAAAAAAAUCCACACACGACCUCGAAUCAGGCAAGGCUACCCGCUGAAUUUAA